CCAUUUUCAGAUCCAUUUCUAAG
rnacentral:siRNA from 1 species